AAAGUGGUGUAGUGGAAGCACCAAGAGUUUUGAUCUCUUGAGGAUGGGUUCGAGUCCCUUCUCUCUAGAAUUGAGGGG
rnacentral:tRNA from 1 species